rnacentral:lncRNA from 1 species
UGAGAUUAAGGUGGUAUCUAACACUACAGGGAGAUAACUCUGUAAAAUCAGCUAAACGUUUUAAUAACAUUGUGUUGUUAAAGGGAUAUAAAGCUUCUCAAUGAUCAAAAUGAGUGUUUGUCAAACUGCUAUAUAACCAGUGUAAUUCUUUUGAUAAAACGGUUGGUUCAAAAUUUUUAAAAUUUUUAUAUUUUUGUCAAGAGGUCAUAGUAAAUACUUUGUCAAAAUUUUAAGAAAAUUAAACGAGCC